rnacentral:snRNA from 1 species
GUGCUUGCUUCAGCAGCAGCACAUAUACUAAAAAUUGGAAUGAUAAAGAGAAGACUAGCAUGGCCCCUGCACAAGGAUGACAUGCAAAUUCUUGAAACAUUCCAUAUUUUU